rnacentral:rRNA from 1 species
AAUGAACGCUGGCGGCAUGCCUAACACAUGCAAGUCGAACGAAGGCUUCGGCCUUAGUGGCGCACGGGUGCGUAACGCGUGGGAAUCUGCCCUUGGGUUCGGAAUAACAGUUAGAAAUGACUGCUAUUACCGGAUGAUGUCGUAAGACCAAAGAUUUAUCGCCCAAGGAUGAGCCCGCGUAGGAUUAGCUAGUUGGUGGGGUAAAGGCCUACCAAGGCGACGAUCCUUAGCUGGUCUGAGAGGAGGAUCAGCCACACUGGGACUGAGACACGGCCCAGACUCCUACGGGAGGCAGCAGUGGGGAAUAUUGGACAAGGGGCGAAAGCCUGAUCCAGCAAUGCCGCGUGAGUGAUGAAGGCCUUAGGGUUGUAAAGCUCUUUUACCCGGGAUGAUAAUGACGGUACCGGGAGAAUAAGCUCCGGCUAACUUCGUG